rnacentral:rRNA from 1 species
GAUGAACGCUGGCGGCGUGCCUAAUACAUGCAAGUCGAGCGAACAGAUAAGGAGCUUGCUCCUUUGACGUUAGCGGCGGACGGGUGAGUAACACGUGGGUAACCUACCUAUAAGACUGGGAUAACUUCGGGAAACCGGAGCUAAUACCGGAUAACAUUUGGAACCGCAUGGUUCUAAAGUGAAAGAUGGUUUUGCUAUCACUUAUAGAUGGACCCGCGCCGUAUUAGCUAGUUGGUAAGGUAACGGCUUACCAAGGCGACGAUACGUAGCCGACCUGAGAGGGUGGACGGCCGCACUGGAACUGAGACACGGUCCAGACUCCUACGGGAAGCAGGAGUAGGGAAUAGUUCGCAAUAGGGGAAAGCUUGACGGAGGAACAGCGCGUGAGUGAUGAAGGGUUUCGGCUCGUAAAACUCUGUUAUUAGGGAAGAACAAAUGUGUAAGUAACUGUGCACGUCUUGACGGUACCUAAUCAGAAAGCCACGGCUAACUACGUG